rnacentral:lncRNA from 1 species
AUUUAUAUUUGUUUGUAUUCUUAUGCAUUGUGCUGAAGAGAUUGCAUUCUCUUGUUGAAGACUUUAUUUCCCUUCAAGUGGUUACUCCUAAAUGCAACACUUUUUUUUUUUACCCUUUUUUUUUUUUUUUUUUUUAAACUAAAAGAAACCAGAGCUGGAGGGCUGAGCAGGGGGAGAGAAAAACUCUCAGCCUGGAUCCUGCACAACAAGGUGCUACAUGCUUCAACUUCUAGUAUGCUUACAAAGGUCAGCUAAAGUUCAGGAAGGGAUAAAUGAUUGCUACUUUGAGGGGGUCCGUGGUAGCCAGCACUGUUCACAUCACAUUACAACAGCAUGCUUACGAGCUCAUCAAGAGAAGACUGUAGUAGAUCAUGUGCCUUGUAAAACUGAUGCUUCAGUGCAAACAUACAAAGGAUGUGCCUGGUCUGAAGAGUUGCUGAGAAUGUCACAGAGUCCUGCUAUGGCUUGUGGCCCAUUUACUGUCCAUGGAUUCAUGCACCCACUCAUCCCUCCAGCCACCUGUCCUGCAACAUUUUGAUGUACGUACCCAGAAACUGCUGGUAGGAUGGCAGCCAUCAGCUUCCAAAGCCAGGNNNNNNNNNNUAUUAUUAUUAUUAUUAUUAUUAUUAUUAUUAUUAUUAUUAUUAUUAUUAUUUCCUUUUAACAGGAAAAUUG